UUGAACGCUGGCGGCAUGCUUUACCCCUGCAAGUCGAACGGCAGCGCGGGCUUCGGCCUGGCGGCGAGUGGCGAACGGGUGAGUAAUGCAUCGGAACGUGCCCAGUAGUGGGGGAUAGCCCGGCGAAAGCCGGAUUAAUACCGCAUACGACCUGAGGGUGAAAGCGGGGGACCGAAAGGCCUCGCGCUAUUGGAGCGGCCGAUGUCGGAUUAGCUAGUUGGUGGGGUAAAGGCUUACCAAGGCGACGAUCCGUAGCUGGUCUGAGAGGACGACCAGCCACACUGGGACUGAGACACGGCCCAGACUCCUACGGGAGGCAGCAGUGGGGAAUUUUGGACAAUGGGGGCAACCCUGAUCCAGCCAAGCCGCGUGCGGGAAGAAGGCCUUCGGGUUGUAAACCGCUUUUGUUCGGGAAGAAAUCCUCUGGGCUAAUACCCCGGGGGGAUGACGGUACCGGAAGAAUAAGCACCGGCUAACUACGUG
rnacentral:rRNA from 1 species